CGUUGAAGAGAAAUAAGCAGUUACUCCUUGCUGGCCUUCUAUUUGUUCAAAGUACAGGGACCAAAUUCUUGAAGCGUCUUGUCGGUUUUCUUGUAAUAUUCAGAUUACAUCAUACCAUACACUAUACAGUGUACUAAAUACAUAAUUGUGGUGUGACAAAUUUGUAAAUAAUGGGAUAAGUUUUUGUCGUUGUUGUAGCAAG
rnacentral:lncRNA from 1 species